GGCUGUGUAGUGUAGUGGUUUAUCACUCGAGAUUUUGAUUACGUAAUCCUCAUUCUCGUAACCCCGGUUCGAACCCGGGCACGGCCU